rnacentral:other from 14 species
CAUGGGACGCUAGUUGUGAACAAGGUGUGAAGAGCCUAUUGAGCUACCUAAGAGUCCUCCGGCCCCUGAAUGCGGCUAAUCCUAACCACGGAGCAAGUGCCUUCAGCCCAGAAGGUAGCUUGUCGUAACGCGCAAGUCUGUGGCGGAACCGACUACUUUGGGUGUCCCGUGUUUCCCCUUAUUUUCAUUGUGGCUGCUUGCGGGACUAUAAUUGAUUGCCAUCAUAAAGCGAUUUGGAUUGGCCAUCCGGAG